AGACAUCCGACCUCAGAACCUCCGACCUGGAAAAAUUUUGACACCCGAGGUCUAUCCCUGUCAGCCACCUACUACGACCGUACCCCUCCGAGGUCCGGCCAAGGGUCGUAUCCUGCCACUGCCCCAGCAUUUAUUGCGCAUGACCCCUGCAAACCUCCAGUUCACUCCACAAUUAAUGCGGAUCUCCGGCUUACUCCACAAUUAAUGCGGAUCUCCGGCUUACUCCACAAUUAAUGCGGAUCUCCGGCUUACUCCACAAUUAAUGCGCAUGGCUCCUGUCAUCUACGGACCCUCAGCUCUCCACGGCAAGUCAGCCCAGCAGAGUCCAAUCGACUAUGAUAAGUCUCUGAUCUCGGCCUUACCUCCGACACCAAU
rnacentral:lncRNA from 1 species